rnacentral:snoRNA from 1 species
AUGCACAUUUCAUUGACCUGCUUUCGGUGCAAGUGCUGAGCAGUGUUAUUUCUGGUGUGCUAAAGAAAUAGUUGAAGGCUAAUUAGCAGCAUAGCUGUGUAUGUAGUUACUGCUGCCAGUCUCCUUCAUACAAAG